rnacentral:lncRNA from 1 species
GUUAGCAGUUGUAUUCGUAUUACCACCAUCAUCAGAAUCUUUAGUACCAACCGCAACAUUAGCAUCAACAUCAGGUGGUGCUACAUACUUCAUCAGUCGCAGACGGUAAUUCGUUGACUUGAGGUGUUCAUCAAAGUAGUUUUCUAUCCCAAAGCUCUCUAUGACCAUUCUUCUCACCAUUACAUCCAAUUCUGCUAACUUCUCUGAAAACUUCUGGAUCGUUUCGCUGUUUUCAACACAAAGAAAAUUUAUAUAGCUAUUUUAAUAGAAACAAAAAAAAAUGCGUGAAACGUGAGAUUGAAAACAAAAUUUCAGUUCAUUACUAUAUGAGUGAACUGACAUUUUUCCAAAAAAAUAAAGAUAAAAACAAGGUUUUUUAUAGAAAAUUGUCACAUAACUUAUGAAAAACAACUAGCAAAAAGUUACGAAAAUAUUUUUGAUGAAAGAUUAACAGGAAUUUACGAACAAUUAAUUUACUCUAUGAAGCAUUACUGAGUUUUUUUUUUUUGACAUGACGUUACCUCAUAGUCUUGUUACCCUCACAAUCAGGGCGUAGCAGUUGAGUAAAUUCGUUAACUUUCUCCAAAACAUUGGAAUCCUGGAUCCCUAGACUCUCAGAGAGACCAUUAUGAGUUGAAUAUCCAGUGUAAGGUUUCGGAGACACGUUUCUCUGUUUAGCCUCAACUGGUAACUCGAAAAGCUCUAUCAUGGCAUCCAAAACUGACUUCUUAAGCUCUUCUGACACUCUAUCAUAUGACACCUCAAAAGCGCCGUAGUCUUCAAGAGCUUUACGGACAUCACUCCUCACUUCAACCCACUUCUCAUCUCCUGGUUUUAGGGUUUGGUCCGAGAGAUAGAUGACUGGAAGUUGAGGAGUGUCUGCACCCAUUCUUUUCGCCUUUGGUGCAAAUCCAAAAAAUAUAUUUAUAAAAUGUUAAUUAGCUUUAUUUUAACCCGAAAGAAACUGUUUAAGUAGCUCUUUAAUCAUCACAACAAAAGAAAACAUUCAAAACUCAUAAGACAACUACCUUUGGAGUUUUUCUUUGAUUCAAAGAGAUCAAGCUGGUUUUCUUUUCCUUAGUUUUUUUUUUUGCUUCCGUACUGAGAAAGUAAAUGAUGGAAUGUCCAUUUUAUAGACAGAAACAUUCUAUUUUUUUUUUUCCUUUAGAGAAACACACGUGGGUUUAAUAUGAAAAUUCAAAGGGAGGAAAGUUGGUAUAUCACAAAAACAGAUAGCUUUUAAAAAGUUGGUGAAUUGUAUAUCUCGUUUAUAACGUCCCAAUACACUGAAUUGCCUUCGUGGUAUAAGAUGAACAACAACUCAAUCACUAACCUAACAUUUCUCUUUUGUGAAAAAGAUAAGUGUAUGUGAAAAGCAACGGCUAAGAAUAUUAAUCGUAUGGAAUUUCGGUUUUUGAUAACAAGAUAUUUUGAGGAAGAAACUCAUUUUAGUGUUUUUUUUGAAAAAAAAAAGAUUUUGUUUCAAAAAAGUCAAAUAUUUACACUCCCAAUUAACAUUCACACUCUUAGAUCAAUCAUUAUUAAGAAACUCUUGUGAAUUCCUAACAAGUAUAACAACAGAUUUAAUAUAGCUUAUUUGUGUAAUUAAAUUUUAAGUUGCAAAGACAUUUUAAAUAAUUGAUAUAAAGCCAAUUCUUACAAAACAUAUUUGAAGUUUUUUUAUGUGUUUCACUUGAGAGACUCAUGUCACUCAGCUCAUUCUAUCUCCUGCAUUUAUAUUAUUUUCAUUCUUUUUAAUCCCGGGUUAUCAGGAGGUUUCUUAACCCGGAGGUUCCACAAAAACCAUAAAAACCGAUCACAAAAGUAAUGAAAUAAGAGCGUGAUUAACCCGUGAUUCUUAGGAUGAGAUUUUUAGCGGAAGUUAAGAAACAGUUUCUUAACUUCCGCUAAGAAUACCACUCUAAGAACCAUGGGUUAAUCAUGGUCUAAGGACCGAUCUUGGUUGGGCUUUUGCACUGUUUGUGGGCCCCACCGAUACGUGGCGAUCCGCGAUUGGUUUGUUUUUUAAUUUAUUUAUUUUUUUUCAGACCAAAAAAAAUUUAAAACUAUUAAAGAUGCUCUAAUGAUGAUGGACUAACUGAUUACGUUUUCAUGCUUUGUUGGUAUACGUGUGUGUUAUUCCUUUAUAUAUCAGGUGUAUGUAUACGUUUUCAUGCUUUGUUGGUUACGAAUAGAAAUAUAAGUUUUUUUAGUGGGUAGUUUUUCUUUUAGUGGGUAGUGUUUGUAAUCAGAGGGAGUGCUUAAAGCUUUGAUAAAACAAAUCAUAGAAUGUAGUCAAACAAUGAAGUUGCAUGAAUUUAAUUCCAAGAACUUUUUACUUCUUCUUUUUGGCGUAAUUGAACCCAACAUUUUAACUAUACUUUGUGCAGCUAGAAAGAUUAGUCCAUGUUGAAAAUGUUGUGACCGCCUGGGCCUGGCCAGUGUUGCUAAUGAAGACCGAGAUUUCCGAAUUGUCAAAACAUUAUUUCCAUUGCUAGUUUUCUACUUUACUUAUAAAACUCAAAAUAAUAAACAAAUAAAGGGAAAGUGAAUUUUUUUUUGUAACACAUGCUUUCAUUAAUUAAAAGCAAUCAAGGUCUUAGGCCCAAGUUUAGCCAAUAGGAGGGUCCAGCAACAAAGAAGAAGAAAGAUAUUGUUUAGCCAAACAGUCGGCUUCGGCAUUCAGCGAUCGAUUAAGGUGAGAAAAAGUGAUCUCGACGAAAGCACAGGAAAUUUGCUUGAUAUCUUUGAUGACACCGAAGAUUUCCUUUAUCUGCAGGUCGUUGGUAAUAGCUCUGAUGAGCGUUGAGUUAUCAGAGAAACAUCGGAGCUUUGUGAGCCCUAAGUUCCCUGCGGAGAGAAGAGAUGAUCGAAGCGCAAGUGCUUCCGCAAUUAGAGGAGAGUUAACCAGUUCCUUUGUUGUAGUACCAUGUCCAAUGAUUGUUCCUGUAGCCUCUGUAAAUAUCCAGGCCAAGCCAGCUCUCUUGGAGCGUACAUCCCAAGCUGCGUCAGAUCGGCAAGUCACCGCUAGUGGAUCUUCCCUCAAUUGAUUUCGUUGUCUUUUUCCUUGAGGUACUACCUUUGAUUUCGAUUGGGUUGGUUAUUGUGCUGUGAUCCAUUCCUUUGCUAAACGUAGACUUCUCGAUGCCGUCUCUUUAGGUGAAAUUAUUUUGUCCUCAAAAACCAGUUGAUUCCUCGCAUUCCAGAUCAUCCAACAUACCCAAGGGAGCACUGUGCUCGUGACUCCAGUUGGGGGUAGACACACCACUCUCUUGUGGGCGACGACAUCAUCUUUGAAACUCUUUCCUAUCUCCAGUUGGAUCUUGCGAUUAAGAGGAAUGAGCUCCCAAACCUCCCGCACAAAGGGGCAAUGAAAGAAGGUGUGCGUUGCAGUCUCUAGUUCAUUGCAUCUUUUACAAUAGGCUCCUGAUGCCAUACCUCUCUGUUGCAGGUUCUCUCCCAAAGGCAAAGCUCUCUGGAUGACAGACCACAUAAAGAGUUUCAUUUUUGGUGAACACUUUUCGGACCAGACAUCUUUCACCCAGUUAAAGGCUCCUGGCUCGAAGCAGUUUGGUUGUGUAGUUAACUGCAUAGAUGCUGCGAAAUACCCUGAACGCGCAGUGUAUAUUCCAGAUGCUAGUGGUUGCCAUACGAAGGAGUCCUCUGCUUUCAGCAGACUUGGCUGCAGCAGUUGAAUUUCCUUUGUCAGUUGAGGUAAGAGUGCUUCAAUCUUGUUUUUAUUCCACUGCAUAUCUGCCGUGAGUAGAUCUGAGACUGUUAAGUCCAACUCUGCUUCUCUUAGGGGGCCAAACGGUUUGAGCUGUGUAGUCAAUGAGAUCCAUGAAUCUUUCCAUAUCCUAGUAGUCUCUCCAUUUCCAAUCACCCUGCCUAGGUUCCCUUUCAGGAGAUCUCUUCCAUGGAGGAUGCUCCUCCAUCCAUGGGAGCAAACCGCCGGCACUUGAAUGUCAAUGAAAGAUUUUGAGUGACAAUACUUUCCUAGGAGGACUCUAGCGAGUAGACUAUCUGGAUUUGUAAGCAGGCGCCAAGCCUGUUUAGCUAGCAAUGCUUGGUUGAAAGUCUGGAUGUUUCUGAUUCCUAAACCUCCACCUGCUUUAGGUUUAGUUAACUUGUCCCAAGCAACCCAUGCCAUUUUUCUUUUUCCAUUUGGAUUGUCCCACCAAAAUCUAGUGAAAACUGACUGUAUACGCUUGCAUAAAGUAUAGGAAGUUCGAAGCAUGACAUAGAGAAGGUUGGUAUCGUAGUCAGAACCGACUUCAGCAUCGUGAGCUUACCUGCUCUGGACAGGAAUCUCGUUGACAGACUGGAGGCUCGUUGUCGAAUUCUAUCCACUAUGGCCGUGAACAAAUCCUUCUUGCGUCUUCCAAAGUGUUCAGGUAAACCCAAAUAUUUUCCAUUUCCCCCUUCUUUGGAUAUUCCGAUUAGACUCUUAACAUUUUCUCUCAUCUCUGCUGAAGUUCUGGAGGAAAAGGUGAUAGCUGACUUCUCCUUGUUUAUUUUCUGGCCUGAAGCUUGCUCAUACUCCCAGAGGAUGUCUUUCAAUUUCGUACAUCUAGAAGGGGAUGAUUGAUAGAAGAACAUGGUAUCAUCUGUAAAAAGCAGAUGAUUAACCCUCGGGCUUCCCUUGGCCACUCGAAUACCUUGCAAGGUACCGUCUCUUUCCGCUCUUUGGCACAGACCAGAUAGAACUUGGCCACAUAGAAUAAAGAGAUAGGGAGAUAGAGGAUCUCCCUGUCUAAUUCCUCUAUUAGGUGUGACUGAGCCCUGAAUAGUGUCGUUGAUCAGAUAGGAGUAUGACACCGUAGUUACACACUGCAUAAUCAGAUUAACCCAUUUUUCGUGGAAACCUAGUCUCUGAAGCACCUGUGCAAUAAACCUCCAUUAUACUCUGUCAUAUGCCUUAGACAUAUCAGUCUUAAAUGCCAUUGUGCAUCUCUUUUGAGCUUGAGAGGUCUUUAGGUAUUGUAGAACUUCGUGAGUGAUUACUAUAUUGUCUGCUAUUGCCCUGCCUGGAAUGAAUGCUGAUUGAUUCUCGGAUAUGAUAGAAUGUAGCGUUGGUUUUAGCCUGAGUGCCAGUAACUUCGAAAUAAUCUUGAAAUAGACAUUACAUAGCGCUAUAGGGCGAUAGUCGGCGACUCGUUUUGCUCCAACAAUCUUGGGAAUCAAUCUGACAUGUGUUACAUUUUGCGAGGGUCUGAGGGUUUCUAUCUCGAAGAAGGUCUUGAUCUCUUUUACCACAUCUAGGCCCACCACAUCCCAAUUAGCUUGGAAGAAGCUAGCUGAGAAUCCAUCAGGACCUGGAGCUUUAUCCGGGUGAAUAGCAAAAAAUUGCUUCUUUGAUCUCCUCCAUUGUUGGCUCUUUUAUUAAUUCCUCAUUCAUUUCUGCAGUGACGCAAGGUUGCAAUGACUUCUCUACUGUUUGUAGCCCAUUGAAGCUGUCUGAGGUGAAGAUAUGAUCAAAGUAUUUACAGAUGACUGCUGCAAUUUGAUCUUCCUCAAACCAAGGUACUCCAUUAUCAUCCUCUAAAACUGUCAUUCUAUUUCUCGAUUUCCUCGCUUUAGUGGAGGCAUGAAAAUACCCUGUAUUAGAGUCACCAAGCGUUAACCAAAGUUGUAUACUGCGUUGCCUCCAAUAGUCUUCUUCUGCCUUGUAGGCCUUAAGGAGUCUCAUGUUUAACUCGUGAAUCAGUUCAUCAUCAGGAGUGUGACUGGUCAUUGCAUCAUCUAGUUGAGAUCGCAGAGUCUCAAGAUUUUUCCUACUAUUCUCAUGAUAUGCCCUGCUCCAGCUGCAGAUCGCUUUCCUGCAGUAUGAGAGUUUUUCUUCCACCUUCAGGUAGGGAAAUGCGUUCCAUGUUUCUUGUACCAGUUUUCUUAUUUCCGGAUUAUCCUCGAGUCUUCUAUCGAAUCUGAAGAUUUUAGCUCCUUUCUUUCUUCUAGUGUCUAGGAAGGUGAGCAGAGGGCGGUGAUCUGAACCUUCGUACUUGAGAUACUGGCACCUACAUGACGGGAAUGUGUCAAACCACUCACUGUUGCUAAUGGUCAUGUCUAGUCUGCAUUGUACAACGUAAGUACUUCUCUUCCCUCGCCAAGAUAGGUAAUUGCCAUAUUGUUUGACAUCAAAGAGCCCGUUGUUUGAGAGGAAAGAUUUAAAUGAGCAGAAAGUUCCUUCUGCUCUCUCAGGCCCUCCUUUUUUCUCACUAUUGUCAGUAAGUUCAUUGAAGUCUCAGGUCAGAAGCCACAGGUUUCCAGGGGCUGGUUGCAGAGAUGAGAGUUCAUUCCAAAUUGAGAGCCUCUUGGUAUGGUCAGGUUCCCCGUAGACAAAAGUAAUUUGGUACGUCUUUCCUUUAUCUGAUACGAUGGUAUCUAUAAAGUUCUUUGUGCUAGCUCUCACUGUGAGUUGAACUUCCUUUUUCCAGAUGAGGAACAAGCCUCCACCUCCCGGGCUAUGUGAGGGAACAGUGUGAUAGUUAUCAAUUGGGAGCCAUUUCAGAGUUUCUGUGACCAUGUCCGUGUUGUUUUUCGUCUCCAUGAGGAAGAGGAUGUCUGGUGAGUUCCUUCCAUGGAUCUCUUUCAGACGCUGGACUGUUAUGGGGUUCCUCAGCCCACAACAGUUCCAGAUCAGAGCGACUAAGGAGCCGGGGGUGGAAGAGGCCGAAAAUCCUGCUUCUUCCUUGGGGGAUUUGGAGGUCUUCUGGUCGAGGAGGUGUUAACUCUUCUUGAUGGUCCUGCCUCUCCAUUUUUCUGCCUUGCUUCACUUUGCUUAGAAGGAGAACCUCUGCUAUCCUGCUUUUUUCGCGACAUUGCUGGAAUCAAUUGUAUGGCCGGGUUCUUUGUCAGCAAUAUACUCCCCUUCUCCACAGCAUCUCCUCUUCUGGUUACUCCUGAUGACAGAUGAUUUUUGGAUGGAGCUCCAGAGAGGCACUUUCUUCCGUUGAUCGGUGAGUGUUGGAUUUGCGAAAACUUCCUUUUCUUAAGGCUUACUCCUCGUAGAAUGUUUGGAGAUAGGCGUGGUGAGCGUAUCCUAAAUUUAUAUGCUCUCUUUUUCUUUGUUUUGUUUUGGAAAUUUAGUAGCGUAUCUUCAUCAUCUGCUACUUCCAAAACUUCCUUUGAAAUCGUAUUUCCUUCUUCUAUACGAACUUCAGGGCUUACAACAAUUGAUUUGAGCCUUCCAGAAUAGAUAUCCUCAGGACUCUUGUUUGAUCGCCUUGUCAGCACUACGGACUCAAUACCGUUUGGGUCAAUGUUUCGUAUUGCCGGAGGGGGGGGGGAGGGGUGACUUCUACGUCUGAUGGUUGCAUAGCUAAGUCGAAGUCAAUACCCGGAGGGCUUUCUGAUCGAACUCCACGCUCCCAAUGAGAUAGGGGACGUCUCUGUUCUGCUGAUGCCGCUAAGAUUGACUCAGCAGUCUUUUCCAUUAAGCCUUCAGCGUCUCCUGCGAGUACUCGUUGUCUUCUUGCCGCGGUUUCAACCGGAUCUGCACAACUGAGGUACUGUUUUGUAACUUCCUGCAAUUCUUGUAAUACCUGAUCUUUAGAUAAGCCCACACCAUUACGGUAGUUCUGACUAGUCUCUAUCGUAUGUCCAUCAGAGCUUCCACGUAGUCUCAUAAGGCCUACAGCAGUCUCUUCAGUUUGAUUUCUAAUAUCCCCUGCCAGUACCUUGUGUCUUCUUGCAGCCGCUUCCAUGGGAUCUGGGCAGCUUAGGUAAAGCUUUGUUGCUUCAUUUAGAUCCUCUGUAAUUUGUUCCUCCGUUUGACCCUUUGGUGUUUCUUGACGAGUUUGUUCUUGAGUGACUUCUAAAAGAGGACCCUGAGAAGAUGUAACGCCUGGAACACCUACAUGGGCCCUUUCUGAGCAAGUAAGUGUUGCUGGCUUCAUUCUCCAUUCGCUAAGCCCUUUCUGAGGGAACGAGUUUUUCCUUGGGAAAUUAGUCUCUCUCACGAUGUCUCUUCUCAUUGUGUAGGGCGGAGAGCUAUAUCCUUGGGGUUCAGGAGCUCUUUCUGAAGCUUUGCUUCUCCAGUUGUGAGAUUCUCCCCUUGAUUUCUCUAAAGUCCUUAUUGGUGGAGGAACCCGUGUUUGCUUGGUCGCAGCUCUAGCACCGAAGCUGUUCCCAUGGCGGUCUACUCUCUCAUGGAAGGCACUCUUAUGCUGUUCAACUCUGUUCAUAACCCUUCCCCCUCCAUCAGGUAAAGAUCCAUCUUCACUACAGUGGGGGACUAGUGCCAGAUGUUUGCUGUUACGGUACGAGCCAUCUUCUUCCGAGUAGGUUCCCACUCUCUGUGCUGUCAUAUUUUCCUUCUGUUUGAAUUCCCCUUCAUGUUCAGCCCGGAGAGCCAUCGUGCAAUAUUUCUUCAGAUGGGACAAGGAGUUGCAGAGUGAACAAUGAUUUUCAAGCUUCUCAUACUCGAGGUAGAUGAUGCUUUCCUCUCCGGAGUCGUAUUCGAUGAUGGCUUCUUUAGUCAGUGGCUUGAGUCCAUCUACUAGAACUUUGACCCUUGUUGUUGUUUUAGUCAGUUCGUGGUCUAGGAUCGUUCCAAGGUCCUUCCCUAUAUUACAGAUCAUGUCUUCUAGCCAGAAGUGAAAAGGAAGACCUUUAAUGCGAAUCCAGAAGGGGAUCUGUGAAGGAAAUGAAGCCGAUAUUAUGGUUUCCCACCUCUGUAUUAUGACCAUCCAGUAAGCAAACUGGUAAGGUCUGUUGUCCAGAACUCUCUGUAGAUCUUCUUCUCUUAUAAAUCUGAACUGAAAACAUCUAUUUCCCAGAUCUGACCCAGUAACUCUUCCUUGCAUGUGCCAUUUGCGAGGUAAGGCUGGUAAGACUGCCCAGAUUCUUUGCUCCUGCGGGUUAGUCACCCUACCUAUGAGAGUAAGGGCGUUUUCCUUGAUAAGCGCUGAGUUGUCUACAUAGGGGGCCUUCAUUCUUUUGAUGUGGGGUACAUGUUCUUCAACCGCUUGGGUCUUUCCUUUUUCUUCUUUUAAGUAACGUCUUGCCAUGAUUCUUCGCCGGUAACUAGCGUUGUAGUUUGUAGAGCGAAAAGUUUCCUUACCAUGUCUUCAGAAGCUCUUAAAACUUGUACAGUUUAUAACCUGAGGUGAUGUUCUUGAAGUCAAAUGAGGGUUUGAAGCUUGAGAUUUGAAAAGCUAGAUCUUGGAGGCGUUUUAAGGCUGGGGGGCCAAAGGUGAUUUAUUAAAGGUAAUGUUUCGUUAGGCUUUGCCCAAGACCGAUCCUAAUUUGUAACGUUGUUCAUGAGAAGAGUGUUGGCACUUGCAAAUCGCUAUUUCAAACACUUUGUUCAUGAGACAAUGCAUGUCUAUAUUUUAAAUAACAUUACUAAUUUACAAUUGUAAUUAUUCGUUUCACUAAUUUUUGGACCACAACACAUACACCUAUUGCAAGUAAACCGGUCAAACUUUAAAUAACAUUACUAAUUUACUAUUUACGAUUUUGGCAUUUUGCAAACAAACAAAUUCCUAAGGUAAGGGGGAUCUACAUGUCAACUCAAAACCACUAUCGCUACGAUAACAUGAAAGUAAAUCAUUCACUUAUUUAGCGUUUAAUGUUUGAAAUCGCAAACACCCGUUUUUAUAUGUUCCACACUCGUUUCCCAUCUGCUGAAAUUAAACUAGUAUUUUUUUAGAAAAAAAAAUGAAUUUAAUUUAGUUUAAAAAAGAAGAAGAAAUUAACCUAUUUAAUUAACCUAUUUACGAUCUUGACAUCUUGUGAACCAACAGAUCCAACCAAAUUCAUUACAUUAUUGAACAUGCUCAUACACAUACACUUUAUUGAUUUUUCAUACAAAAGAGAGACUUGAUUGCUUCUCCCGAAAUAAAACACAUAUACUCAACUAAUCCAAAAACUCUUAUUUAGUACUACAUGUAGUUCUUGAUAUUAGUUGAACCAUGAAACUACUUAAACAUUGUUGAAACUCUCGUAAGUAAGCGCACACAUUUAUGCUCCAGAGACGGCACAAUAAGCGUGAAGAGUAGAACGAGGUCUACGACCAGCCUCAGUGUGAUAGAAACUCAUCAAGUCAACGUAAGUGAAUGGUUUGAAGAGACGUGGGUGCUUCUCGUCCACAAGCUCUUUUGGUGGUUCGAUGAUGUAAUCUCCGUUUGGAGUCGAGAACAAUGCUAUUGAAUACCUUGUCUUCUUUCUUUCCGUUACUCUUACUCUAUGAAACGGACGAGAUAGUCUACCAUUCAUAAGUGCCUGCAAAAAAAAAGUAAAAAAAAAUCCAACACCAAGAUUCAUGAUGAGAAGAAAACAUAAUGUUAAUGUAUAAACACUUUAGUAACGUCGACAUGCAUUUGUGAAAGUGAUAAGAAAAAAUAAAAAGGUGAAUUAUAUAAUAUUUAUAUCCUAAAGUUAUGAAUGUGUAUAUCAUAAAGUUAUAAUAUAUAUAUCAUAAAAAAGUUAUGAUUAUUAUGAGGAUCGCAAUUAAUAUAUUACUAGGUUAAGAUCUGCGCCUUGCGCGGAAUCAACAUUAUAUAUAAAAUUAUUUUAUGUAUUAAAUAUUUUUACAUUUUAUGAAAUAAUUAAUAUAUAUUAAAACAUCAUCUGCGCCACCAUUAGCUUUAACACUAUCACUAACGCCAACAGUAGCACUAGUACGAGUACCAGUAUUAGCCUUAACAUCAGCAAUAGUGCCAAUGUUAACAUCAGCACCAACACUAGAUUUAGCACUAACAUUAGUACCAACGUCGACAUUAGACUUAACAUUAGCACAAUCACCAGUAUUAACGUCAUCACCAUUAUGAUUGGUACCAGCACCAGUGCAAACGUCACCCUUGGCAUCAGCAUCGUCAUCAAUAUGAACUUUAGCAAUACCAUUAGCAAUAUCAUCAGCAUCAGCGUUAGCAGUUGUAUUCGUAUUAGCACCAUCAUCAGAAUCUUUAGUACCAACCGCAACAUUAGCAUCAACAUCAGGUGGUGCUACAUACUUCAUCAGUCGCAGACGGUAAUUCGUUGACUUGAGGUGUUCAUCAAAGUACUUUUCUAUCCCAAAGCUCUCUAUGACCAUUCUUCUCACCAUUACAUCCAAUUCUGCUAACUUCUCUGAAAACUUCUGGAUCGUUUC